GAUGAACGCUGGCGGCGUGCCUAAUACAUGCAAGUCGAACGAACAGACGAGGAGCUUGUUCCUCUGACGUUAGCGGCGCACGGGUGAGUGACACAUGGAUAAACCCCCUAUAAUACUGGGAUAACUUCGGAAAACCGGGUCUAAUACCGGAGAAUAUAUUGAACCGCAUGGUUGCAUGGUUAGAGACGGUUUUGCUGUCACUUAUAGAUGGAUCCGUGCCUCUUUAGCUGGUUGGUGGGGGAACGGCUUCCCAAGGCAACGAUGCGUAGCCGACGUGCGGGGAGGGUCGGCGGCACGGGAGGGGAGACGCGGCCCCGACGACUACGAGAGGCAGCAGUAGGGAAUCUUACGCAAUGGGGGGAAGCAUGAUGGAGCAACGACGCGGCGGCGGUGAUGGAGUUCGGAUCGUAAUACUCUGUUAUUGGGGGAGAACAAAUGUUGAAGUAACUGUGCACGGCUUGACGGUACCUAAUCAAAAAGCCCCGGCUAACUACGUG
rnacentral:rRNA from 1 species